rnacentral:rRNA from 1 species
AGCGAACGCUGGCGGCAGGCCUAACACAUGCAAGUCGAACGAACUCUUCGGAGUUAGUGGCGGACGGGUGAGUAACACGUGGGAACGUGCCUUUAGGUUCGGAAUAACUCAGGGAAACUUGUGCUAAUACCGAAUGUGCCCUUCGGGGGAAAGAUUUAUCGCCUUUAGGGCGGCCCGCGUCUGAUUAGCUUGUUGGUGGGGUAAUGGCCCACCAAGGCGACGAUCAGUAGCUGGUCUGAGAGGAUGACCAGCCACAUUGGGCCUGCGACACGGCCCAAACCCCUACGGGGGGCAGCAGUGGGGAAUCUUGCGCAAUGGGCGAAAGCCUGACGCAGCCAUGCCGCGUGGAUGAUGAAGGUCUUAGAAUUGUAAAAUCCUUUCACCGGUGAAGAUAAUGACUGUAGCCGGAGAAGAAGCCCCGGCUAACUUCGUGCCAGCAGCCGCCGUAA